rfam:Felis catus isolate Cinnamon breed Abyssinian chromosome C1, whole genome shotgun sequence.
GCCUGGAUGGCUCAGUUGGUUGAACAUCUGACUUAGGCUCAGGUCAUGAUCUCACGGUUUAUGGGUUUGAACCCCAUGUCGGGCU